GAGCCAUUAGCUCAGUUGGUAGAGCAUCUGUCUUUUAAUCAGAGGGUCGAAGGUUCGAGUCCUUCAUGUCUCACCA
rnacentral:tRNA from 1 species